GAUUCAUUAGAAGUAACGAGUUGACAUUAGGUAAAUCGGCAUUGAGGGAGCUUUUCUUCGAGUGUAUGGCGAAGCUUCAUUACAGCCAUCACUAACAAGGCGUGCAAUCGCUCUGAUUGGGCAGCCUUCUUCCAACGGCGGGGCCUCGAGCAAGAUGCCCCCCUAAUGAGGGUCACUGCCAGAGAUUGAUAAGAUAUUCAGGGCCCCCCCCUUCCCUUCUCCUCCUCGCGCCAGGAAUUUGGGAAUUAAAAGAGAGA